AUAUAGCAGUUGGAACCAUACUCCUUCCUGCUGUCUGGCUUCGGUUACAUCGACAAUUCUUGUCACACACGGAGCAAUAGCAAGCCACCUUGUGUCAGACAGCUGCAACAUCUUGAGGGGCUAUUCUCCCACAUUGAUGGUAGCGUACAGCUCUGCAUAUUUCUGCUGUCGGAGAGAGCUAUUCGAAAAAUACUUAUAUAUCUGCGAUACCAUGGACUCAAGGAACUCAAGCAAAGAUGCUGUAACACCCUCAGCAGUGCUUCUAUCGAAUUCAACAAGUCCCAAGAAUGAUGUUAUGAUUCUUUUCUGUUCGUAACUUGGGUACCGAACAACAAUACACAGCUUUUUCUUCAUAGUAUUGUCAGUACUUUCGUCUAUUAUCAAUGAAUAUUCACUUUUGCCAAUGUCACAACACAGUUCCUUCAGCAUACACGGUGCUAACACUUUGUUUACGAGUGCCGUGCAUUUUGUCCUAUGUAAGGAUAUAUCCUUACCAGAAAUAUCUUUUACUAGCUCACCCAUGUGAUCGAUUGUCCUGACGCUUGAAUGACAAGCAAUGUGAGCUGCUAACUUCAGCUCAGCAACUUUUUCAUCACUAGUGACUUUUGUUCUUGAUAACCCUGAUUGAAACAGAGUCCUCAUGUUAGAAAAUGGAGCAGCAUUUUUCUCAUGCUUUGCUGUCAGACCAUGCUUGAUAAGGUCACUGUGAUGGGCUCUGAUCACAGUUUUGCAAAAUUUGCAGGAUGCAUGAGUAUCAUCGCCGGGUAUACUCCUUAUCCACGUCUUGAGCCCGUCCUCUUGUUCCCACUCUUUACAGUAUUUUUUGCUGUAUUUCGACCACUUGCUCAUGUUCACUUGAGCGUACACACGUAUGCACGUGGCCUGUAUCCAGUAUACUUGUAUCUCCUCCAGGCAGGCUGAGGCAGCUACGAGGCUGAGAAUAAACUGGCUGUGUUUCAGUGUGUGUGCUGUGAGGUGAAUGUGGAAAUUAUGGGUGCGGCAUGCAGGUGUUCAGGAUGGGUGCCCUACAGUCUUAAUGAGAUCAUGCGGCCCUAGUAGUAAUCCCCUUAGGGAGAGGGGAGACUUGUUCACACCCUUCUGCUGGCUGACCUGGCGCCACUCCUUAUCAUACGAGUGAGUCUACUCCCUGAUAUGGUAUGUCGGGAAGGCAAGAGUAUAUUAUAUAUUUUCAAUAACAAAUAGCCCAGAAAAUAGCCCAACUGCGGUAAAAAGAGCCCAAAAAGCGCCAAACCGCGGAAACCAUAUUUUUCACGCCCAAUACCAGGAAAAAGAGCCCAAUUGGGCGAGAAAACCACGGACCUGGCAACUCUGAUUAGUUGUUUUCAAUAAAAGAUUCUAGCUUGUGGACAGGUUAAGUUUUCUAAUGUUUUUUUUUUUAAUAAUUUCAAAAGAAUAAACAUUUAUUUUCAAUAAAGGAUUAUAACUUUUUGGACAUUUAAAUUUUCUAUUUUUCCCUUGAUAAGUGCCAUAAACUCUGCCAUUUUCGAAAAAAAAAAUUUUUGCCAAAAAGUGCCAAAAAUCAUGAGCACAGCUGCCAAUAAAAUAUUGCGGGACCUGGCAACCCUGCAACUAAUGCUCUUGUUUUGGGCUGAUAUAAAUGAACACACACACACACACACACACACACACACACACACACACACACACACUUAUUCCUGCAAAAUUUCAGAUAUUAAUUCCACAUCAAACUCUUGAGUAUCAGCAUCCCCUUCAUUAGUAUCAUGUGCAUACAUAGAACUUGAAUUGAAUUUAUUUAGCAUCUCUUCUGAUAUUACAGAAUCCUUGCAGCAAGAAUUAUUCAACAUCAGGUGUGAUCUUAUCAUCAAAAUGCUUUUUAAUAGCUUGUGCCCCAUCUUAUUUCUUAUCUUAGUCUUUGCUAAGGCAGCCUGACUGAAAACUCUCUCAACAUAUGCAUCUGAAAUAGGUAGGCAUAACUUAUCUAAGACUAAUUUUGCCAAAGUUCUGAAGCAACACGUACCUGCUGCAUUCUUAAAGUUAUAAACAUUACACCAAAAAUUUGCCUGAUCUUUGACCUUAAUCCCAAGAUUUGUCCAAUCACACAGUCUGAUGUUCAUGUACUGUUUUUCCAAGUCAUCAAGAUUUUCAUCACUUGUCCAAAAUUCUGUGAGAUUCAGCUUGUGAAAUGGAAUAAAUCUAGUCUGGGAGAGGAGAACAUCAGGGUGAAAAGCUUGCAAUUUCCCUGGCAGCCUCAUGGAUACUUUAUCUACUGCUGUCUUCAAAAAAUUGAGGCACUGAUACUUUGUUUAGUACCUGUUCAUUAGAAAGUUUUGACUAUGACAGCUCCUGAUAAAAUUUAGCUCCAAACUGAAUGUCUGUUAUAGGUUUGAGAUGUGCAUCUUGAAUCUUUUCAUACAUUUGCACAUAUUCAUUUUUACAUAUUCUACUUCUCAAUGACAUGUAAAAAACAUCCAAGUCCUUGAAUAAACGACACUGGUCAACAUUUGUGUGUUGGAAAGAAGCAUUAAUUUGUUCAAACUCAUUUAUAAGUGGAGAAGCAAAUACUAGGUAUAAGUAAUUUGAUCUAUCAUUUAGCAUUUUCAGCAGUGACUUGCAACUAUAGCUUUUUGUAUAUUUAAUGCAGCUGAAAUAUGCUGUGAGCUCAUGUCAUUGUGUGAUAACUGAAUUAAUAACUUUCCCAGUCACCAACCACCUUGUCUCUGACGGACUUGUUCUCUGACGGACUUAUGAAUUUUGUGGGGUGCAGAUUAGGAAUGUUUGCAUUCAUGACAUGAAACAAUUUAUCAUAAUCACUUCUCCUAAGAGAGCUAAAUUUAAACCACUUUGCAAUUUCACUGAGCAAAAAAGAAAGGUUAGAAGGCAGUUAACCAAAUGCAUCUUUUCCACACAAACUUAAGCUGUGGCAAAUACAUUUAACUAAAACACAAUGAGGGGCGUGUUCUCUUAUCUUUGUAUACACAGUUAUGAGGUCCACACAAAUUGGAUGCACUAUCAGUACCUGCACCAUCAGUACCUAAUCCUAUAACAUGACUCAUUGGAAUACUGUGUGCAUCAAAGUAUAACUUGAUGUCUGAGAAAAGAGAUGAUGCUGUACAUGAGGUGACAGGAAGUAAUGUUAAGAAUUUUGUUACAGCUGAUGGUAUAUCCUCCUUGAAAUAUCUUACACACAUGCACAAGUGCUUUGUAACUGAAACAUCUGUCGACUCAUCAAUGAUGAGCGAAAAUGAGGUCUGUUGUAUAUCUUUGAUUACCGAGUCAUGAAGACAAGGGUGUACAACAUUAGUGAGAAUAUUGGAACAUUUUGUUCUGUGGUGUUUCAUACCAUGUAAAAAGUGUCUUCCUUGGAGAUUCAUUAAUAAUUUCUCCUAAGUGAUAGGUUGCUCUGAUAGCUGCAUGACACAGGCAAUGGCAACACUCCAUCUAAUAUCAAAUAUUUUCAUUUCUCUAAGACCACCAGUGAAAAAUGAUGAAACACUUGGAGAACCUUUAAUUUGAUCUGCUGCUCUCUGGUGCUUCUGAGAUUUGGCAUGCAUUUCAGCAUUGUACUUCUUAUUUUUAACCUUAGUCUUGCAUACCUUGCACCACAGGUCAUCUGAAUCAUCAAGUGGAGAUUGUGUUAACCAUCCUGAAACAAUAGUUACUUGGUACUAUAAGGAAUUCUAUAUGUAAUAGUUUUCAGGUAGGUACAGUCAACACAGUCACUGUAACAAACUCUACAUUUGGACAAACUGAUUUGUGGGCACAAUUUACAAACAUUUACACUUUCAGACAAAGUUGUUUUAGCUGGUUCACUAUACUUCAAGCCAUUCGCAAAAGUUCCAAAACUUCACACACAAAUCACGAGGAAUUUUGUUUCUCUUUAAAUAGCUUCUGAUCUCUUGAAAUUCUUUCAUCCAAUGCCCUGAUAAAGGUUUAGUUUUCGGCAUACCAAUGAUCGACAGUGACACAGCCGUGACAACGCCUUGACAUCCCGCAAGAAACUGAGUAGAUCGAGUCAGUCAACUCUCCUCUCCUGGCCUCAAACAUGUUCUAUACGCGAUACGGCACGCGGGUGUGCGUUUUGGUUCCAGUCAUAUACUCGCAGUUGUAAUUUUUGGCAUUUUAUGGCAACUCUGCGACAAAGAUUGGCAUUUUUAAGGCACCAUAUUACUACUGCCAAAGAAAAAUGGCAUCUUUUGGAAAAAUGUUAAAUUUAUGGCAAAAAAUGCCACUUUUGGCA